UAUUUGUUGGUAGAUACAUUCAGUUGUUAACCAUCUUUGUUUCAAAGAGGAGCUUUAACAAAGUAGUGUCUAAGUUUAGUUUUUGGAGAUUGAUUUCUGUGAAGUUUUUGUAAAGAAUUGCAGUUAUUUACCAGGUUGUUAGAUUGAUUACAUUUAGCUAAUCUAAGUAUUUAAAACCCCACUUCGGGGUUUUUAUUACUUGCCUGGUUUAUGCUAUAAUAAAGAUUUGAACCCGUUCUGGAUUGUUUGUUGCAACGACCCCCAGACCCCUCUACAACAUUGGAGCCCGAUAAGUUUUCUGAAGAGAACAUCCGUCGGAGUCAACCAGCUUAUGGUGGAUAAUUAUUGGUGGAAAUUCGUCUUCAGCGGUAGAAUCAAUCAACUUAAAACGUGAAUUGCGUGUGCGAACUUUUUAAUCUACAAAGAUAGCUAUCUGUGCAGAUGUUUGGGGUAGGCCUACGUAUAUUUUAGUCAAGUUUAUAGAUAUUUUGUAAUUAAGUUAUUUGAAUUAUUUAAGGUUAAUUAUCUCCCUUUAGUCUUCAAAUCAUUUCAGAUUUUUGUACUUUAAGUUGUCUCCCUUUAGUCUUCACAGCAGUGACUUAAAUUGGAAACAUUUUUGUUUUCUUUUGUUAAUUCAAGUCCCACCUCACCCCACCCCACCUACCAC